CGGGACGGGUGAGUAACACGUGGAUAACCUACCUAUAAGACUGGGAUAACUUCGGGAAACCGGAGCUAAUACCGGAUAAUAUAUUGAACCGCAUGGUUCAAUAGUGAAGGACGGUUUUGCUGUCGCUUAUAGAUGGAUCCGCGCCGCAUUAGCUAGUUGGUAAGGUAACGGCUUACCAAGGCAACGAUGCGUAGCCGACCUGAGAGGGUGAUCGGCCACACUGGAACUGAGACACGGUCCAGACUCCUACGGGAGGCAGCAGCG
rnacentral:rRNA from 1 species